rnacentral:lncRNA from 1 species
AAUAACCAAAAACGACAAAAUUUCUUUAAAAUUACAAAUUGGGGGGCAGCAACCCAACAACCGGUUGUCCAAUUCAUCUGAAAAUUUCAGGGCAGAUAUAUAUUGACUUGAUAAACAAUUCCACCACUUGUCAGAUUUGCUCUAAAUGCUUUGGUUUCAGAGUUAUAAGCCAAAAUCUACAUUUUACCCCUAUGUUCUAUUUUUAACCAUGGCGGCCAUCUUGGUUGGUUGGCCGGGUCACCGGACACAAUUUUUAAAAUAGAUACCCCAAUGAUGAUUGUGGCCAAGUUUGGUUAAAUUUGGCCCAGUAGUUUCAGAGGAGAAGAUUUUUGUAAAAGUUAACGACGA